rnacentral:rRNA from 1 species
AGUCACUGACAUUAGAUACCCCGGUAGUCCCAGCCGUAAACAAUGUGCGUUAGGUGUGUCGGUAACCACGUGUUACUGAUGCGCCGAAGAGAAAUCGUGAAACGCACCACCUGGGAAGUACGGUCGCAAGGCUGGAACUUAAAGGAAUUGGCGGGGGAGCACCACGACAGGUGGAGCCUGCGGUUUAAUUGGAUUCAACGCCGGACAUCUCACCGGAUAAGACAGCUGAAUGAUUGUCAAUCUGAAGGUUUUACAUGACUAGCUG